rnacentral:rRNA from 1 species
UACGAAGGGGGCUAGCGUUGCUCGGAAUUACUGGGCGUAAAGGGCGCGUAGGCGGACAGUUAAGUCAGAGGUGAAAGCCCAGGGCUCAACCCUGGAAUUGCCUUUGAUACUGGCUGUCUUGAGUAUGGGAGAGGUGAGUGGAACUCCGAGUGUAGAGGUGAAAUGCGUAGAUAUCGGGAGGAACAUCAGUGGCGAAGGCGGCUACCUGGCCCAAUACUGACACUCAGGUGCGACAGCGUGGGGAGCAAACAGG